UAUUUACAGUCUUGCAUUCCCAUCUUGCACAGAAAUCUACCAUUCACGUGCUUCAAUUAAAAAAUAAUCUGCAGUGGAUACUCCCAUCCUAUCCCAGCUCAAUAUACCUGGUAUCACAUGCAUUCCCUUUCUCAGAUCGCUUUAGUUUUCACUUACAGAGUCUAGCAUUAUCUGAGUGCUGAUGCUGAGUGGGACUCUGGUGGACAGAGAGCUCCCUAACUGCACUGUAUGGCCUUCAGCUUAAACAGCAAGUACAUUGAUAGGGUAAGUUUUCUUCUUGGAACAGCAACGCCCAUCUCCUGCACAAAAUCAGCCAGCAGACUCUUGUUUGUGAUAUGCUUGAAGCUACAGAGGGGUUUCCUGAACUGCUCUAUCAGCUGGGGAUGUAAAUGUGAGCCUAUGUACUGAUAGGGCACGUGUCCAGUUUAGAAGCACAGUGUAUAACUGCUCUGCAGGCAGCUAAAACACGAAGUAAUGACUCUUACAGGUUCUGUUCCAUGAGGAUCCUCUUGACUGAACAAGGUUGGACACUGGUUUCUGCACCUGAGAUCAACCAAGUGACCCAUUCUACUUUGGACUUUACACAUCCAUGAGCUGCUGAGCUUGAUGGAGAAGGGGAAACCAUUUACUUGUGAUAUUUUUCUAUACAGCAAAACCUGGCCCAGAAGCACUGUAAAACUCAACAGGUCCCAAUCUGCCACCAGUAAGACUGAUCUGACAUCAGUAAGACUGCAAGCACUGGAAACCACAUCCUAACAAAGGGAAAAGAACUCUUCACAGCUGUUCAUGCACAAGAGACACUGAAAGGAUGCAACACCAGAAAAGGCAGCAGAAGUUUGAAAUGUGAAGAGGCAGAGAGCUGUGCGAGCCAUUGCUGCAGUGACUUGAACAUCAUUCACCCGGCAUCGCUCCAGUUCUUGUGAGCUCAUGCAGUGUGGAAACACAGGUGUCAGCCCCUCAGGAGCAGAAUUGAAGGUUUGAAGGAUGGUCAUCAAUUUGAGAGCAGCCCACCUUUAAGUGAUCCUAUUCUUUAGCAGUUAAUCUUAUUUCUUCGCAGCCAGAACUGAUCUACAACAGCAAUUGUAAAGGCGCAGUGCAAGCUCAAGCAAUGGCAGCAUACAGGCCAUAGCAAUCUCCUAAGAGGGAAGAAUUCUUACAAUACAGUAAGGUGGCAAACUCUGAACUGUCUUUUGCACAGCAUGAGUGCACAACACUACCAAAAUGACCAGAGCAGGGACCAGGGCUGCUGGGAACAACUGCUGUCAUGAGUCUCCAGCAACAGAGCCACGCAUACUCUUACAAGCAGCACGACAUCAGGGAGCUGAUGGCUCAAGAAAACUCCCUAAUUCUCCCUGAUUUAUUUCAUACUACCUUCUUCUUCCUUUCCUUUUCCAUGCAGCAUCCACAAGUGCUCACAGAGUGAUUUAGAUUGGACGGGUCCUUAAAGAUCAUCUUGUUCCAACCUCCCUGUUACAGACAGGGCUGCUCCCCACCAGCUCAGGCUGCCCAGUAUCCCAGCCAGCCUGGCUUUCAGCACCUCCAGGGAUGGGGCACCUCAGCCUCUCUGGGCAGUGCUGCCAGGGCCUCACUUCCCUCCGAGUAAAGGAUUUCUUCCUAACACCUAACCUAAAUCUCCCCUCUUUUAGCUUAAAGCUAUUCCCCCUCAAGAUCACAGACUCAACCAGGGCAUGUUUGCUGCAGCCCAGGCUGCCUCUGAUUUUAAGGUCUUCAAUAAUCUCCUCCACAUUAGUGGAGCACCAGCUCCAGCAGUUCUUCACCUCUCGUGGGUCUGUCCAGUACCUGAACCAGAAAGUUAUUGUCAGUGGAGUCUCCUUCAUUGCUUGCAGGCUGCUACGUUGUUUUUCCAGCAGAUGCCCAAGUGGUUCAACUCUCCCAACAGGAUGAAAGCCUGCAAGCAUGAAACCUCUUGCAGCUGAAGCAAGAAGACCUCAUUAGCAGGUUUCCCUUGAUCAGAGGAGCUGUCCUUCAUUGCUCCAGUCCAAUAACCAAGACCCUUCACCUUUUUUUUUAGCAGCACUGCUUGUGACUGGUUCUCAGUUGCACCUUCUUAACAUGGUUGCCCCUUUUUGUUUUUGAAACCACUACCCAUACCUUCUCCUCCCAGCUCCACAGCUUUGUAUUUGCUGGCUACGAGGACUGCAGGGACAAAUGGGAGAGGCUUUCUCCAUCUGCUCCAAGCAGAGACAAGCUUCCAGUCCCCCUCAUCCUGUAUGUUUGCUGUCAGGUUGGAAGCCUUAUCUAUUUCCCCUUGCCAGGACUUAGUGCUGUUGGCCUGCCUGUGCCACUGUGUAAUACCAAGCAUCACUCUGACUGCUGGGUUCAUCUCAGCCUUGGUGACUUCCUCUUGCAUCCUGCUCAGCUGCUCAUCUUGUUCAGAGCUCCUUGCAGGAGCCUCAAGCUGGAUCUCUGUGCCUACGUGCCUCCUGGAGCCACAAGUGAGCUAGCUGUAGACAUGCUGUCCUCUUGCUUUGCUGCUCUGCGCAUUGCCCACAGAAUAUGGUAUUUCAGUAGACCUGCU